AACUGGAAGCCCAUCUCUUUGGUGUUCCACGCUGGUCCCCAGAACCCUGCAGCUUCCCUGGACAAGAUCCUGAGGUUGUGGACUGCAACAGCAACUGGCAUGAAAGAAAGGGAUGAGGAAGAUGCUGACUUCCAAACUCUGCAAAUGCUCACAGGAAUUGCAGACCAGUGACAGACAACAUAAAACUGCAGAAGACUGGAAGGAUAUUGGCUGACAGGAUCAGAAUUCAAAAUGGCUUGGACUCAUAAGAAAAAAUUCAGAAGACAUUAGAAGGAAUUCUGAGCAAGUGAUGGAAACCUGAAUAUUUAGGCUACAUUUCCACAGUCAUGUAAGAUUUGUGCAUUGCUCAAUCACCCCCCUUUACCACCUCACUUAGUAGCAGAUAACAUUUAUCAUAAUAAUUUGCAACCUAUUACUACAUGAGC